rnacentral:rRNA from 1 species
GAUGAACGCUGGCGGCGUGCCUAAUACAUGCAAGUCGAGCGAACAGAUAAGGAGCUUGCUCCUUUGACGUUAGCGGCGGACGGGUGAGUAACACGUGGGUAACCUACCUAUAAGACUGGGAUAACUUCGGGAAACCGGAGCUAAUACCGGAUAACAUUUGGAACCGCAUGGUUCUAAAGUGAAAGAUGGUUUUGCUAUCACUUAUAGAUGGACCCGCGCCGUAUUAGCUAGUUGGUAAGGUAACGGCUUACCAAGGCAACGAUACGUAGCCGACCUGAGAGGGUGAUCGGCCACACUGGAACUGAGACACGGUCCAGACUCCUACGGGAGGCAGCAGUAGGGAAUCUUCCGCAAAGGGCGAAAGCCUGACGGAGCAGCGCCGCGUGAGUGAUGAAGGGUUUCGGCUCGUAAAACUCUGUUAUUAGGGAAGAACAAACGUGUAAGUAACUGUGCACGUCUUGACGGUACCUAAUCAGAAAGCCACGGCUAACUACGUG